AGUAUAGAAGUACUGUAUUCAGUACAGUAUCUAACUGUCAGAGAAGUACUAGAGUAUAGAGGUACUGUAUUCAGUACAGUAUCUAACUGUCGGAGAAGUACUAGAAGUAUAGAGGUACUGUAUUCAGUACAGUAUCUAACUGCCAGAGAAGUACUAGAGUAUAGAGGUACUGUAUUCAGUACAGUAUCUAACUGCCAGAGAAGUACUAGAAGUAUAGAGGUACUGUAUUUAUUUAACCUUUUUAUUUAGCAUUACGUUUGAAAGAUUCCCCUAACUUUCCCCAAAUUCCCAGGUUUUCCUUCAGAAAUCCUGGUUAGAAUAUUCCCUGAAUCUGGAAGGAAGAAGCAGGAAAUCAGGGAAUCCUCCAUCUGGGAAUUCUGAAAUACAAAAGGAAUUUCUCAACUUUAUUGAGAGCCUUUAUUUUUUAACAAUAACAACCUGGUAUUAUCCUGGUUUAUCUUCUUAGAACCUAUUUUUUUAAUUCUCCUUUAAUUUCAUAGACUGAUUUUUUGUUGUGCCAUAAUGGAAGAAAUAAGAAAACAAUUGAUUCUAAAUCAGGACCGUAGUUCGUCAUAUUGUCAUGUUUGAUUGCAUUUGAUUUGUGUUGAGUGUUGACUAGUACUGAAGUUGUUGAAUGUACAAUGUACCUAAAUGUCCGGGUAUGUGUCUCAAAUGGAACGCUAUAGACUAAGUAGUGCACUACUUUUUGACUAGGCCUAUGUGGGACGUAUCCCCAAUGUUCCUUUCAUAAUAAUAAUAAAGGCCCAGUUUAUUUGAAUGUGGUUUGAAAAGGAGUAGCCUCAUUGUUUUCCAGUUGAGAGAGAGACACAUAGAGAGACACAUAGAGAGACACAUAGAGAGAGACACAUAGAGAGAGACACAUAGAGAGACACAUAGAGAGAGACACAUAGAGAGAGACACAUAGAGAGAGACACACAGAGAGAGACACAUAGAGAGAGACACAUAGAGAGACACAUAGAGAGAGACACAUAGAGAGAGACACAUAGAGAGAGACACAUAGAGAGAGACACAUAGAGAGACACAUAGAGAGAGACACAUAGAGAGAGAGAGACAUAGAGAGAGACACACAUAGAGAGAGACACAUAGAGAGAGACACAUAGAGAGAGAGACACAUAGAGAGAGACACAUAGAGAGACACACAUAGAGAGAGACACAUAGAGAGACACAUAGAGAGAGACACAUAGAGAGAGACACAUAGAGAGAGACACAUAGAGAGAGACACAUAGAGAGAGAGACACAUAGAGAGAGAGACACACAGAGAGAGACACACAUAGAGAGAGACACAUAGAGAGAGACACAUAGAGAGAGAGAGAGACACAUAGAGAGAGACACAUAGAGAGAGAGACACAUAGAGAGAGAGAGACACAUAGAGAGAGACAUAGAGAGAGAGAGAGAGACACAUAGAGAGAGAGAGAGAGACACAUAGAGAGAGAGAGAGAGACACAUAGAGAGAGAGAGACACACAUAGAGAGAGAGAGAGAGAGACAUAGAGAGAGAGACACAGAGAGAGACACAUAGAGAGACACAUAGAGAGAGACACAUAGAGAGAGACACAUAGAGACACAUAGAGAGACACAGAGAGAGACACAUAGAGAGAGACACAUAGAGAGAGAGACACAUAAGAGAGAGAGAGAGAGACACAUAGAGAGAGAGAGACACAUAGAGAGAGAGAGAGAGACAUAGAGAGAGAGACACAUAGAGAGACACAUAGAGAGAGACACAUAGAGAGAGACACAUAGAGAGAGACACAUAGAGAGAGACACAUAGAGACACAUAGAGACACAUAGAGAGACACAUAGAGAGACACAUAGAGAGAGACACAUAGAGAGAGACACAUAGAGACACAUAGAGAGAGACACAUAGAGAGAGACACAUAGAGAGAGACACAUAGAGAGAGAGACACAUAGAGAGAGAGACACAUAGAGAGAGACACAUAGAGAGAGACACAUAGAGAGAGAGACACAUAGAGAGAGAGACACAUAGAGAGAGACACAUAGAGAGAGACACAUAGAGAGAGACACAUAGAGAGAGAGAGACACAUAGAGAGAGAGAGACACAUAGAGAGAGAGACACAUAGAGAGAGAGAGAGACACAUAGAGAGAGACACAUAGAGAGAGAGAGACACAUAGAGAGAGACACAUAGAGAGAGAGAGACACAUAGAGAGAGACAUAGAGAGAGAGACACAUAGAGAGAGACACAUAGAGAGAGACACAUAGAGAGAGAGACACAUAGAGAGAGAGACACAUAGAGAGAGACACAUAGAGAGACACAGAGAGAGAAAGAGACACAUAGAGAGACACAGAGAGAGAAAGAGACACAUAGAGAGACACAGAGAGAGAAAGAGACACAUAGGGAGAGAAGAGACACAGAGAAAGAGAGACAUAGAGAGAGAAAGAGACACAGAGAAAGAGAGACAUAGAGAGAGAAAGAGAGACAUAGAGAGAGAAAGAGACACAUAGAGAGAGAGACACAUAGAGAGAGAAAGAGAGACAUAGAGAGAGAGAGAGAGAGAGAGAGAGAGCAGAGCAGAGCAGAGAGGAAGUCACAAUCAGAUGAGCUCCUGCAUUUUUCAGCAUUUUCUUUAAAAAAGAUAGAUUAGGAGUUAGAUAAACUUAGAUUUUUUGUCAGGAACACAUACUGGAUUCUACCCUCUACAACAUAACCCCUACUUCAAAUCAAAACUUAAAACCUACAACCUGAUUUUGGACGGAAUUACGGAAUCACCUGGAAGGUUCACAACUACCAAGAUUUGUUUCUCUAUACAGCAAAUUCUCUGGAAAACAACAGAAACCUGAAAACACCAUCCAACCUGGAACUGACUUGAUACAGCUUCAAAUAGCACUGACGUGUCAAGUGAGAGGUGU
ensembl:lncRNA